rnacentral:rRNA from 1 species
UACGAAGGGGGCUAGCGUUGUUCGGAAUUACUGGGCGUAAAGCGUUUGUAGGCGGUUAUACAAGUCAGAUGUGAAAGCCUGGGGCUCAACCUCAGAAUUGCAUUUGAAACUGUAUAGCUAGAGAAUGUUAGAGGAAAGUGGAAUUCCUAGUGUAGAAGUGAAAUCCGUAGAGAUUAGGAGGAAUAUCGAUGGCGAAGGCAGCUUUCUGGGACAUUUCUGACGCUGAGAAACGAAAGCGUGGGUAGCAAACAGG